CGCAUACGUCCUACGGGAGAAAGCAGGGGACCUUCGGGCCUUGCGCUAUCAGAUGAGCCUAGGUCGGAUUAGCUAGUUGGUGAGGUAAUGGCUCACCAAGGCUACGAUCCGUAACUGGUCUGAGAGGAUGAUCAGUCACACUGGAACUGAGACACGGUCCAGACUCCUACGGGAGGCAGCAGUGGGGAAUAUUGGACAAUGGGCGAAAGCCUGAUCCAGCCAAGGCGCGUGUGUGAAGAAGGUCUUCGGAUGUAA
rnacentral:rRNA from 1 species